AGGAUAUUCAUGGAAAUGAUGUAAAGCUAAGUGAGAACAGCGGCAAGGUUCUUCUGAUUGUGAAUGUUGCUUCAAAAUGUGGUUUAACAUAAUCCAACUACAAGGAAUUGAAUAUUUUGUAUGAAAA